ACUCUUCAACCUUGUGUUUCAACUAAACUCUUGAACAUUCUUACCUUGGCUGGUCAUUUUAUAUGUAGAGAAUUUUAUGUCUGGGCUGAAGGUCGUGUUUGAUCGAGAGAGAGGAAGGUCUUGGGCUGGAAAAACUUUGAUUGUUACAGCGUGGGCAACUCAAGAAGCAACCUUCCAGUGAACUCAAAUCCUUCUUGUGUUCCCCCUAGACCUGCCUUGGGACCGAACAGCUACACUCGUGAAGCUACCAAGGGCGCCUCGCCGAAUGGCACCCAAGUCAAUGUCUUGCAACCUUCUGCAAGUUUUUCGCCGAAGCUGCAU